AACUUUUAGCAAUGGAUCUCUUGGCUCUCGCAUCGAUGAAUAACGCAGCGAAGUGCGAUACGUAAUGUGAAUUGCAGAAUUCAGUGAAUCAUCGAAUCUUUGAACGCAUAUUGCGCUCUCUGGUAUUCCGGAGAGCAUGCUUGUUUGAGUAUCAGUAAACACCUCAAAUCCCUCUACUUGUUGGAGGAAUUUGGACUUGAGCAAUCCCAACUUUUCGAAAGAGAAGGCGGGUUGCUUGAAAUGCAGGUGCAGCUAGAGUCUUUCUUCUGAGCUAUAAGCAUACUUAUUUAAUCCCGUCAAACGGAUUAUUACUUUUGCUGCAGCUAACAUAAAGGUUGAAGAGUCGCUAUGGCUGACUGAUGCAGGAUUUACCAUGUCGCGCAAGCGAUCUGUAAACUCGAUCUCAAAUCAAGCAAGACUGCCCGCUAAAGUUAAGCAUAUCAAUAAGCGGAGGCU
rnacentral:misc_RNA from 1 species